rnacentral:rRNA from 1 species
GAUGAACGCUGGCGGCGUGCCUAAUACAUGCAAGUCGAGCGAACGGACGAGAAGCUUGCUUCUCUGAUGUUAGCGGCGGACGGGUGAGUAACACGUGGAUAACCUACCUAUAAGACUGGGAUAACUUCGGGAAACCGGAGCUAAUACCGGAUAAUAUUUUGAACCGCAUGAUUCAAAAGUGAAAGACGGUCUUGCUGUCACUUAUAGAUGGAUCCGCGCUGCAUUAGCUAGUUGGUAAGGUAACGGCUUACCAAGGCAACGAUGCAUAGCCGACCUGAGAGGGUGAUCGGCCACACUGGAACUGAGACACGGUCCAGACUCCUACGGGAGGCAGCAGUAGGGAAUCUUCCGCAAUGGGCGAAAGCCUGACGGAGCAACGCCGCGUGAGUGAUGAAGGUCUUCGGAUUGUAAAACUCUGUUAUUAGGGAAGAACAUAUGUGUAAGUAACUGUGCACAUCUUGACGGUACCUAAUCAGAAAGCCACGGCUAACUACGUG